rnacentral:sRNA from 1 species
AGCAGCCGCGGUAAUUCCAGCUCCAAUAGCGUAUAUUAAAGUUGUUGUGGUUAAAAAGCUCGUAGUUGAACCUUGGGCCUGGCUGGCCGGUCCGCCUCACCGCGUGUACUGGUCCGGCCGGGCCUUUCCCUCUGUGGAACCCCAUGCCCUUCACUGGGUGUGACGGGGAAACAGGACUUUUACUGUGAAAAAUUAGAGUGCUCCAGGCAGGCCUAUGCUCGAAUACAUUAGCAUGGAAUAAUAGAAUAGGACGUGUGGUUCUAUUUUGUUGGUUUCUGGGACCGCCGUAAUGAUUAAUAGGGACAGUCGGGGGCAUCAGUAUUCAAUUGUCAGAGGUGAAAUUCUUGGAUUUAUUGAAGACUAACUACUGCGAAAGCAUUUGCCAAGGAUGUUUUCAUUAAUCAGGAACGAAAGUUAGGGGAUCGAAGACGAUCAGAUACCGUCGUAGUCUUAACC